CCUACGGGUGACUGCAGUGAGGAAUAUUGGUCAAUGGACGCAAGUCUGAACCAGCCAUGCCGCGUGCAGGAAGACGGCUCUAUGAGUUGUAAACUGCUUUUGUACGAGGGUAAACUCAGAUACGCGUCUCUUUCUGAAAGUAUCUUACGAAUAAGGAUCGGCUAACUCCGUUCCAGCAGCCGCGGUAAUACGGAGGAUUCAAGCGUUAUCCGGAUUUAUUGGGUUUAAAGGGUGCGUAGGCGGUCGGAUAAGUUAGAGGUGAAAUCCCGAGGCUCAACUUCGGAAUUGCCGCUGAUACUGUUCGGCUAGAGAGUAGUGGCGGUAGGCGGAAUGUAUGGUGUAGCGGUGAAAUGCUUAGAGAUCAUACAGAACACCGAUUGCGAAGGCAGCUUACCAAGCUACUUCUGACGUUGAGGCACGAAAGCGUGGGGAGCAAACAGGAUUAGAUACCCCUGUAGUC
rnacentral:rRNA from 1 species